GGAGGCGUCGCAUAGCGGUCUAUUGCGCUCGCUUGGAAAGCGAGUUGACCUUUACCGGUCUCACAGGUUCAAAUCCUGUCGCCUCCGCCU
rnacentral:tRNA from 1 species